rnacentral:tRNA from 1 species
GGAGAGAUGCGUGAGUGGUUUAAACGGCAACCCUGGAAAGGUUGUGUAUGAGAAAUCGUACCGGGAGUUCGAAUCUCCCUCUCUCCGCAA